rnacentral:ncRNA from 1 species
UAAAAAUUUUUGUAGUUUAUAUAAUUUAUUUAAAGUUUAUUUUACAUAUAAAUUUUAGUGUUAAUUUAAGUUUAUUUUAAUAAUAAAUUUAUUAAUUUAUUAGUAAUUAAUAUUAAAUUAUUUAAGAAAUUAAUAUUUAGUAAUAUUUAAAUUAAUAACAAAUUUUGUGCCAGCAGUUGCGGUUAAACAAAGAUUAAAUUAAAUUUUAUUAGUAAAUUAAUAAAUAAAUAAUAUUUAUAAUAUAAAUUUUAAAUUAUUAAGUGAAAUUUUAAUUUAAUAAAAUAUUAUUUAAUUUUUAUGAUUUAAUAAAUUUUUAUAAAAACUAGGAUUAGAUACCCUAUUAUUAAAAUUUUAAAUUAAAAUACUAAAAUAGUAAUUAAUUAUUUAUUGAAACUUAAACAAUUUGGCGGUAUUUUAGUUCAUUUAGAGGAAUCUGUUUAAUAAUUGAUAGUCCACGAAUAAAUUUACUUAAUUUAAAAUUUUGUAUAUCGUUGUUAAAAAAAUAUUUUUUAAUGAAAAUAAUAUUUGAAAAUUAGAAAUAAAAUUAAAUCAGAUCAAGAUGCAGAUUAUAAUUAAGAAUAUAAUGGAUUACAAUAAAUUUAUUUAAAUGAAUAUUAUUUUGAAAUAAAUAAUUGAAAUUGGAUUUAAAUGUAAUUUUAUUUAGUUUAAUAAAGUGAUUAAAAAUUGAAAUAUGUACAUAUUGCCCGUCGCUUUCAUAUAAUAAUAAAUUGAAAUAAGUCGUAACAAAGUAGAGGUACUGGAAAGUGUUUCUAGAAAGAC